GUUAAUUUAGACCUAAUGAGUAGCUGACAGAAUAGGGGGUGUGUCUAGGUGGAGGAUGAGAUACAGAGCCCGUUGAACCAUCCCACAACCUGCUCCAGUAUCUUUUUCUUGAAGGUACUAACAACAAGCCCAAGAAGUUUCAGGGAAAGUGUAUACCUGUUUCUGCCAGCAGUUUCACAUUUAUUCUUGACCAAGAUACUGGGAAGGCUAUCUCUCUUGAGGCUUUCUUAAGAUGCAUUUCUUGUAGUGGGAUGUAUAAUUUCAGCAGAGAUCUGACAGUGGCAGAGGUCUCUGGGUAUGAGAUCACUAAUCCUCAGCUACAGAACUCAGGCAAGAUCCCCAAAAGUCUGUUUAACCAUUUUGGUUAACCAGAUAUCCUAAAUUUCUGAGGUCAAUGGCAGUCAUCUGAUUUGAUAGAGAAAGAAAUAGAAGUGAAAAGGGCAUUGUGGUCAUCUGAAGUUAUAAAUGACAGUGACUGAAACUCUGGCCCAGGAAGUGCUGACUUUUAACAUUCUUUGAGAAUGUCCUAAGAUGAUAGGAUGAAUAAAUGGUAUCUCACCAUCCAGGAACAGAGGAUAGAGGGGUUGGUUGUAGGGGACUUCUUACGCCACCAGCCCCUUCCCUGUGGACUGACCACACUUGGUGGUUUAGGUGUAAAUGCAGCCUCUUAGGUGUUUUCCAGCUGUUUUGUUGCCAUGGCAGUGUGUUUGUUAUGCCACUGUUUCCUUCUGGCCUCUCACAGCUCAGUUGCUAGUCUCUGUUUCAGGAUAGGGUAUUAACUAUCUGGGCAGCAGCAGCUAGUAGACUUUUUCCUCCAUCCAAGAGACUAAGCCAUUUAGUUCCCUAGUCUCCCAGCUACUGUAGAUGCUUACCUCUGCCUCUGAUAUUCGAUUCCUGGAAGUCUUAUUUUUCCAAGAGUUUGGUCUUCUCAGCUAUUUCCUAUAGAAGCAAAUUUCCUUUCACCAGGAAUGUGAGGUAUAGUCAGGUUCUCCUCUUCAGUUUCCCUCCAUUCAUCUCCUUUGAUACAGCUAGAAAGUUCUCAGCUCUUUCCCCAAGAAUCAUCAAAAGAGGGGAAAUCACAUAAAGACUGGGCAGAUGGUGGGUGCAGAUUUAGCCGAAGAGUUCAGAUCUUUGAGAAGGAGAUGCAUUCAUGACAACCAAGGUUAGAUGAUCUAUUGAGAUGGGCCUAUCCUUUGGGCCUCUUUCAGGAUAAGCUUUCAAGCAUUGCUUUUAGGGGAGGGGCCACUAUGAGUCUUAAGUCAUAAACAGGGAUAAAGGAAGGAAAUGAAGAUUGUAAAAGGAGAGGAGGUUAAUAGAGGUGUAUAUAGAGUAGGAACCCCAACAGUUAAGAUCCCAGGUACCCACCCCUAUGAAAUUUAUGCAUGAGCCCUUAAAGGAAGAGGGUGACCAGUGGAACUUAUGAAUGGGAAUAACUCCUCAUGACCACCUAGUAUUUCUCCACGAGGUUUUUUGCUGUUGGAGACUGACUCCUAGGUGGGAGCAGCUGCUAUGGUCAUUACUCAGCUUCAACCCAAGGACCCAGAUGCCUGGUUAUUGGUGAUCCUGCUUUAAGUCUUAGAUGAAUUAUUUGAUGUCUGUAAAACUGUACCUCCCUUUUAAACUUAAUUUUUAUCUUACAGCAGCAGCCAGUAAGGAGGAGAAGGGGAGAGAGCUCAUUCGAUAUUAACAACAUUGUCAUCCCAAUGUCUGUUGCUGCAACAACUCGCGUAGAGAAACUGCAAUACAAGGAAAUCCUUACUCCCAGCUGGCGGGAGGUUGAUCUUCAGUCUCUGAAGGGGAGUCCUGAUGAGGAGAAUGAGGAGAUUGAGGACCUAUCCGACGCAGCCUUCGCCGCCCUGCAUGCCAAAUGUGAGGAGAUGGAGAGGGCACGGUGGCUGUGGACCACGAGUGUGCCACCCCAGCGGCGGGGUAGCAGGUGAUGGGGCAGGCUUGGGUCCCCAGGGCCUGUGG
rnacentral:sRNA from 1 species